GACGAACGCUGGCGGCGUGCCUAAUACAUGCAAGUCGAACGCAGUGGGGACGGGUGAGUAACACGUGGGUAACCUCCCAUCAGAGGGGAUAACACUUGGAAACAGGUGCUAAACCGAUACUGAUGGAUGGACCCGCGGUGCAUUAGCUCGUUGGUGGGGUAACGGCUCACCAAGGCCACGAUGCAUAGGCGACCGGAGAGGGUGCGCGGCCACACGGGGACUGAGACACGGCCCAGACUCCAACGGGAGGCAGGAGUAGGGAAUCUUCGGCAAUGGACGAAAGUCGGACCGAGCAACGCCGCGUGAGUGAAGAAGGGUUUCGGAUCGUAAAACUCUGUUGUUAGAGAAGCGGUAUCUAACCAGAAAGCCACGGCUAACUACGUGCCAGCAGCCGCGGUAAUAC
rnacentral:rRNA from 1 species